CAAGGACGGAGGCCUGAGAGGGUCCAGUGAUCCCCUGUGCAGCUGAAAGACAGGCAAGGGACGGAAUUCCUUAAAGGACCAGGAGGCUGAGGAUUGAUGAGGCCAUGAGGAAUCUGCCCUCGUGAGGGGAUUAGUGCCUGAAGAAGAGCUGGAGAGACUAGUGACGCCUUUGUCCUGCUGUCCACCAUGUGAGGACACAGGAGUCACCCUGCUGUCUCCUGAGGGUACCGCAGCAGACAGCAUCUGGGAAACAGUAGCCCACGCCAGACCCGACUGUUCCGGGACCUGAUCUUAGCUUUCCCAGCAUCGGGAGAUCACGGAAAGCACCGGGAGAUUUCACGACUUAUCGAAGGACACAGAGCUGAGAUGAGGACCCAGGUCUUGCUGCUGGCAGAGUUGAGCCUGCCCCAUACAUCAGUGUUUUAUCACCUGUCCCAUACACUGGAUUCUGGAAAGAUCUUCUGCCUCCCCACCAAGCUUUCCAUUAGUGGACCCUCAGCAGUGAUGACAAACUCCUCUUGCAGUUUUCCAUGGAGAGUAGUGGUAGCUGAAGUGGCUUUUUCGGGAGAUGAAGCCUCUGCAGCAGAGCAAUCUGGGUGGUUUUAGCACGCACCAGGAAGGCAUGCAAUGUGACAGCAGAAAAACAUGCCAACAAACUUGGAAUUAAAGGUGAGAGAAAGAAAUAAAAGUUGGAGUGAAGUAAUUUCAACUUGAGAAGCAGAGCAGCUGAAACCCUGAACAAAAACGUACACUCAGCAAUAUGGUCCUUUCCUACAAAUUAAUUAACCCAAAGUGCUUGUUUAAUUAGUGUGAGGGGUAGGGAAUUGAGCAUCGAACAAUAUCUCUCACCCAGUUCAGAAUUAUGCUCACAAAAGAAUUUCCUCUUCCUUUCCUGAGAGGGACCAGAGCAUUGCCUUCAUCGGUCUGGACUCAGCAGGGACAUCUUGGCUGGGGACAAACUUUCAGCUGCUGUGGAAGCUAUGGGAGGGGCCUUGCGGAUGGCCCUCUAACUUCCUGCCUGUGGCCACGGCCCAGGUGGACCUAGGCAGAGUUUGGCCCUGAGCCCCUGGAAGGGGCUCUGAGGUUCUCAGGAGAGCAGGCCUUCUGGCUUCUCAGCCUUAUCUGCUCCCUGCUUUGCG
rnacentral:lncRNA from 1 species